GACGAACGCUGGCGGCGUGCUUAACACAUGCAAGUCGAGCGGAGCGGCGAACGGGUGAGUAACGCGGGAGUAACUGCCCCCCUCUCUGGGCUAAAAGUUGGAAACGGCUGCUAAUACCGGAUAGUGGGGGAUGAAUCGCGUCCUAUAAGCUUGUUGGUUGGGUAGUGGCCUAACAAGGAGACGACGGUGAGCCGGCCUGAGAGGGCGACCGGCGACAAUGGGCUGAGAUACGGCCCAAAUUCCUACGGGAUGCAGCAGUGGGGAAUAUGGCACAAUGGGGGAAAUCCUGAGGCAGCAACGCGCGUGAAGGAUGACGGCCGUCGGGGUGUAAACCGCUUUAAGCCAUGACGCGGGAGUGGCAGAAGAAGCACCGGCUAACUACGUGCCAGCAGCCGCGGUAAUUC
rnacentral:rRNA from 1 species